rnacentral:rRNA from 1 species
UACGUAGGGUGCGAGCGUUGUCCGGAAUUAUUGGGCGUAAAGAGCUCGUAGGCGGUUUGUCGCGUCUGCCGUGAAAGUCCGGGGCUCAACUCCGGAUCUGCGGUGGGUACGGGCAGACUAGAGUGAUGUAGGGGAGACUGGAAUUCCUGGUGUAGGCGGUGAAAUGCGCAGAUAUCAGGAGGAACACCGAUGGCGAAGGCAGGUCUCUGGGCAUUAACUGA